GCCCGGCCUCGCCAGCACGCAUGGCCUGGGCUCGCGCUGCCUGGCCCCGGCCGCCGCUGGCUGUGCGGGUUGGACCUCUGGCGGCCCGGCAGUGAGUUUCCUGCGUGAGCAGCGGCGGUGACGUUCUCCCGCGCCUGGGGCAGGCGAAGUUCCGCGCCCCGACUUUGCCGCGACCUUUGCGGGCCCGCCGGCGGGUGCGGGCGGCGAGCGUCUGCGCGGGGCGGAGGGAAGCCGUGCCGCGGGAGGGAGGGCACCGUGUCAAUUUUUUUGUGCGGCCGCGGCUGGAGCCUGUGGCGCGCGGGCGGCGAGCGCGGGGACCCCGGCGUGGCAGAGCCAUGGAUGGCCGGGCUCGGGCCAUGGACUCCGCAAAAAGCGGCAGUCACAGCGAGACCUGGAGACGCGCUCCCGGCGCGGCGGGCGGUGGGCGGCGGCGGGGCCGGCUGGACCUGGGCGCCCUCGCUCCCCUGGUCGUUGGGCUCCGACAAGGAAGACAAUGGGAAGCCCCCGUCCUCCGCCUGGUCCCUGCCCAGACUUCCGCGGAGGAAGCGGCGCGAGUCCACCUUGGCCGAAGAGGACAUCAAGUUGCCAUGACCAGCUUUGUCAUUUUUGAAGCGCUGGAGGUAAGCGCCUCCUCUCCCCAUCUGCCCUUAUGCCUGGCC
rnacentral:lncRNA from 1 species